GCAUAUCAAUAAGCGGAGGAAAAGAAAAUAACAAUGAUUCCCCUAGUAACUGCGAGUGAAGAGGGACAAGCUCAAAUUUUAAAUCUAUCGGGUUUUACCUGAUCGAGUUGUAAUUUGAAGAAGCGUUUUCUGCGUAUUUGGUCAGCCUAAGUCCUAUUGAAUGAGGCAUCAUGGAGGGUGAUAAUCCCGUCCGGUUGAUCAUUUGCGUUUUACGAUACGCUUUCUAAGAGUCAAGUUGUUUGGGAUUGCAGCUUAAAAUGGGAGGUAAAUUUCUCCUAAGGCUAAAUAACGGCGAGAGACCGAUAGCGAACAAGUACCGUGAGGGAAAGAUGAAAAGAACUUUGAAAAGAGAGUUAAACAGUACGUGAAAUUGUUGAAAGGGAAACGAUUGAAGCCAGUCGUACCUUCGGGUAAUCAGCCUUUCGGGUGCGAUUCUGUGGAGUGUGAGGAGCUUAAACACCUUCAUGUUUUGCAUAUUCGUACUCUUGGGUGUACUUGCCCGUGUGGUUGGUUAACAUCAAUUUUGGUGGUCAUAAAAUGACUGGGGGAAUGUAGCUUCGAUCUUGUAUUGAAGUGUUAUAGCCUUCGGUAGAUGUGAUGAUCGAGAUUGAGGAUUGCAACGGAUACCCUUUGGGGCUACCUGUCUGAUCUCUGAUCGUUGCUUUGGUGCCGAAAGCUUGCUUACGGUUAUCAAAGUCGAUGGUCAAUAGGUUAGAACGGGUUAAAUUCGUUAAGGAUGUUGACGUAAUGGUUUUAAACGACCCGUUCUUGAAACACGGACCAAGGAGUCUAACAUAUAUGCGAGUGUUAGGGUGAUUAAACCCUUACGCGUAAUGAAAGUAAUUUUGGUGGGAACACUUUUGUGCACCAUCGACCGAUCAGGAUAUUUUUUGAUAGAUUUGAGUAAGAGCAUAUCUGCUAGGACCCGAAAGAUGGUGAACUAUGCCUGAAUAGGGUGAAGUCAGAGGAAACUCUGAUGGAGGCUCGUAGCGGUUCUGACGUGCAAAUCGAUCGUCAAAUUUGGGUAUAGGGGCGAAAGACUAAUCGAACCAUCUAGUAGCUGGUUCCUGCCGAAGUUUCCCUCAGGAUAGCAGAAACUCGUUAACAGUUUUAUGAGGUAAAGCGAAUGAUUAGAGGCCUUAGGGUUGAAACAGCCUUAACCUAUUCUCAAACUUUAAAUAUGUAAGAAGUUUAUCGUUACUUAAUUGAACGUGAACAUUCGAAUGAGAUUUCUAUGGCCAUUUU
rnacentral:rRNA from 1 species